rnacentral:rRNA from 1 species
UGUUAUACCUAUUAUUAAAUAUGUUGUGUCGGAUUAUUAAUAGUUAUGUACUUUAAAUUCAAAGGAUUUGGCGGCUUUUUAAUCUUACUAGGGGAACCUGUCUUUUAAACGAUAAUCCACGUAAAAUCUUACCUAUUUUAGAUAGUUUGUAUACCGUCAUUUAAAUAACUUUUAAAGAAAGAGUUAUUGAAAUAGUUUUUAAUUAAAAUGUUAGAUCAAGGUGCAGUUAAUAAAUAGGUUAAGAUGGGUUACAAUAAAAUUUAUUUAUAAUGGAUAAAAUUUCGAAUGAAGUUUUUAAAGGUGGACUUAGAAGUAAAAUUA